UCCCCAUCUUCACAACUCAUCUCUCCGACUCAACAAUGACGACAAUCCGCUCUCACAACCUCCUCCUCCUCCUCCUCCCCCUCCUCCUCCUCUCAUCCUCCGCCACCCCAUCCUCCGCCACAUCAACCCACAACGUCGUGGCCUACGGAGCCAAACCCGGCGGCACCACUGACUCCAGGCAGGCCUUUUUAUCCGCCUGGAAAAACGCGUGUGCGUCUGCCCGCCCGGCCACUCUCUAUGUGCCGCGAGGGAAGUUCUUGCUGGCCGGUAGGAUUGUUUUCGAUGGAGAAUGCAGGAACAGUAAAAUGGUGGUGCGUAUAGAUGGAACCCUCGUGGCGCCGGCGGAUUACAGGGUUCUUAAAGAUGGUGGGUACUGGGUUUUGUUUCAGAACGUUAAUGGACUCUCGGUUUAUGGUGGAGUUCUUGAUGGCCGUGGGUCUGGCUUGUGGGAUUGCAAGAAGGCUGGCCAUAGCUGCCCCUUUGGAGCUACGG
rnacentral:lncRNA from 1 species